rnacentral:rRNA from 1 species
AGAUUGAACGCUGGCGGCAGGCCUAACACAUGCAAGUCGAGCGGCAGCACGGGUACUUGUACCUGGUGGCGAGCGGCGGACGGGUGAGUAAUGCCUAGGAAUCUGCCUGAUAGUGGGGGAUAACGUUCGGAAACGGACGCUAAUACCGCAUACGUCCUACGGGAGAAAGCGGGGGAUCUUCGGACCCCACGCUAUCAGAUGAGCCUAGGUCGGAUUAGCUAGUUGGUAGGGUAAAGCCUACCAAGGCUACGAUCCGUAACUGGUCUGAGAGGAUGAUCAGUCACACUGGAACUGAGACACGGUCCAGACUCCUACGGGAGCAGCAGUGGGGGAA